CUUCAGAAGAGCAUUCUCCUCAUUCCAAAAGACUGGAGCUAUGAAAUUCAGUGAGGGAUCAAUCAUCAACUCUGUGGACCUGGAAUUUCAGUCAUCAUCUACUCCUAAUGAUACACUUAUCUCCGAGACUUUGGUUAACGAGGCUUCAAAUAUUAACGAAUUUAACAUAGUUCCAUCGACCGUUUCUGUCAGCAACCCAGAGACUCCAACCACAACAACUGCUGCUCCAACCACAAC